UACGAGGGGGGCGAGCGUUGUUCGGAAUUAUUGGGCGUAAAGGGUGCGUAGGCGGCCUGACAAGUCUGAUGUGAAAUCCCUGGGCUCAACCCAGGGCCUGCAUCGGAAACUGUCGGGCUUGAGUAUGGGAGAGGUGAGUGGAAUUUCCGGUGUAGCGGUGAAAUGCGUAGAUAUCGGAAGGAACACCAGUGGCGAAGGCGGCCUUCUGGACCAAUACUGACGCUCAUGCACGAAAGCGUGGGGAGCAAACAGG
rnacentral:rRNA from 1 species